AUAGUUUCUUGAAUUCUAUAAGAAGUUGUAUCUGCUCACUGAAAUAUUUAAAGAGCUGCAGUAUUUUAACUGUACAAAGGUAGCACAAUCAUUAGUCUUUUAAUUGAUGACUGGUAUGAAAGAUUGGACUAAGAGCCAUUAUCUAAAAUAUAUUUAUUGAAUUUUCCACUUUUGUUAAAAGGCAAAAAUGUUUAUAGGGGACAAGAAGACCCUUUUAAACUUUAAUUAAACUUUUAAAUGAUAUUUUAUUAUUAUUUAAUUUAAAAGAGUAUUUUUGCUGGGGCGGCAGAUAAAAUCAAUAAGAUUGUUAAACAUCUUGAAUGGACAAUUGAUUAUGAGCCUGUGUUGGAUUUUAGAAAAGUUACUAAAGGGAUAACAGCGUUAUGUCUCUUAAAAGUUCUUAUUGACAGGGACGUUUGCGA
rnacentral:rRNA from 1 species